AUUGAACGCUGGCGGCAGGCCUAACACAUGCAAGUCGAACGGCAGCACAGGAGAGCUUGCUCUCUGGGUGGCGAGUGGCGGACGGGUGAGGACUACAUCGGAAUCUACCUUUUCGUGGGGGAUAACGUAGGGAAACUUACGCUAAUACCGCAUACGACCUACGGGUGAAAGUGGGGGACCGCAAGGCCUCACGCGAUUAGAUGAGCCGAUGUCCGGUUGGCUAGUUGGCGGGGUAGUGGCCCACCAAGGCGACGAUCGGUAGCUGGUCUGAAAGGAUGAGCAGACACACUGGAAGUGGAAGACGGUCCAGAGUCCUGCGGGAGGAAGCAGUGGGGAAUAUUGGAGAGAGGUCGCAAGGCUGAUCCCGCCAUACUGCGUGGGUGAAGGAGGCCUUCGGGUUGUGAAGCCCUUUUGUUCGGAAAGAAAGCCUAUCGGUUAAUAACCGGAGGGAAUGACGGUACCCGAAGAAUAAGCACCGGCUAACUUCGUGCCAGCCGCCGCCGUAAGAC
rnacentral:rRNA from 1 species